GGCGUGCUUAAUACAUGCAAGUCGUGCGAGAAAGUCACCUUCGGGUGGUGAGUAAAGCGGCGAACGGGUGAGUAACACGUAAGAAACCUGCCCCUAAAUCCGGAAUAACAUUGCUAACGCGGUGCUAAUACCGGAUGUGGUCUCCAGUUUGCAUGAACAGGAGAUUAAAGGUGACCUCUACUUGUAAGUUAUCGUUUAGGGAUGGUCUUGCGGACCAUUAGCUUGUUGGCGGGGUAACGGCCCACCAAGGCUGCGAUGGUUAGCCGGCUUAAGAGGGUGAUCGGCCACAUUGGGACUGAGAUACGGCCCAGACUCCUACGGGAGGCAGCAGUAGGGAAUUUUGCGCAAUGGACGAAAGUCUGACGCAGCAACGCCGCGUGAGCGAUGAAGGUUUUCGGAUUGUAAAGCUCUGUUGAGUGGGAAGAAAACUCUCCGGGAUAAUACCCCGGAGACUUGACGGUACCACUCGAGGAAGCCCCGGCUAAAUACGUGCCAGCAGCCGCGGUAAUACGUAUGGGGCAAGCGUUGUUCGGAAUCACUGGGCGUAAAGGGAGUGUAGGCGGAAAGGUAAGUUAGAAGUGUAAUCCACGGGCUUAACCCGUGACUCGCUUUUAAUACUGCUUUUCUUGAGUAUGGGAGAGGGAGAUGGAAUUCCAGGUGUAGCGGUGGAAUGCGUAGAUAUCUGGAAGAACACCAGUAGCGAAGGCGGUCUCCUGGCCCAAUACUGACGCUGAGGCUCGAAAGCGUGGGGAGCGAACAGGAUUAGAUACCCUGGUAGUCCACGCCGUAAACGAUGGACACUAGAUGUUGGCCUCUUCGGGGGUCGGUGUCGUAGCUAACGCGUUAAGUGUCCCGCCUGGGAAGUACGCUCGCAAGAGUGAAACUCAAAGGAAUUGACGGGGGCCCGCACAAGCGGUGGAGCAUGUGCUUUAAUUCGAUGCAACGCGAAGAACCUUACCUGGACUUGACAUGGGGGUGAAAGUUUUCAGAGAUGAAAACCCUUCCUUCGGGAACGCCCUACACAGGUGCUGCAUGGUUGUCGUCAGCUCGUGUCGUGAGAUGUUGGGUUAAGUCCCGCAACGAGCGCAACCCUUGUCCUUAGUUGCCAGCGGGUCAUGCCGGGAACUCUAGGGAGACUGCCUGGUACAACCAGGAGGAAGGUGGGGAUGACGUCAAAUCAUCAUGGCCCUUACGUCCAGGGC
rnacentral:rRNA from 1 species